rnacentral:lncRNA from 13 species
CUCCCAGGUUCCAGUGAUUUUCAUGUCUCAGCCAAGUAGCUGGGAUUACAGGUGCGCACCACCAUGCCCAGUUAAUUUUUGUAUUUUUAGUACAGACAGGGUUUCACUACAUUGGUCAGGCUGGUCUCAAACUCCUGACCUCAGUUGGUCCACCCGCUUUGGCCUCCCAAAGUACUGGGAUUACAGGCAUGAACCACUUUGCCCGGCCUGUCAACUAAUCCUUUAUUGAAAUAUUUUCCUUUGUGCUUCUUAAUUAGCUGGGCAUUCCACCGCACCACUGUUGAUGUCAUCUAUGAUGUCAUGAGGGUGGCGGCCAUCAGCAUUGCAGCCCACAGACUGGGUAGUCCCCAGGAUCUUUCCAAUGUUUCCAGAGAGUUCUCUGGCUAAAGAUCCGUGCUUCAUCUGUCGAGCGAUAUUGACAAUCUCAUCAAAAGUGAUAUUUCCCGGCCGGGCACCGUGGCUCACGCCUGUAAUCCCAGCACUUUGGGAGGCCGAGGCGGGCGGAUCACGAGGUCAAGAGAUCGAGACCAUCCUGACCAACAUGGUGAAACCCCGUCUCUACUAAAAAAAUACAAAAAUUAGCUGGGCGUGGUGGUGCACGUCUGUAGUCCUAGCUAUUUGGGAGGCUGAGGCAGAAUUGCUUGAACCUGGGAGGCAGAGGUUGCCGUGAGCCGAGAUCGCGCCACAGCACUCCAGCCUGGCGCCUGGUGACAAAGCAAGACUCUGUCUCAAAAAAAAAAAUGGUAUUUCCCCUGUGUUUUAUGUUUUUCUGUUUCUUUCUGUCUCUUGGUGGUUCCUUGAGGGCUUUGAUGAUCAGGACAGAGGCAUAAGGCACCACCUCAAUCUGGGCCUGUCUUUUCCAAAUGGUCAGUUUCACUGUAAUCCACAGACCCUUCCAGUUUCCGGUUGCCUUGGCCAUGUCAUCACCAACCUUUUUGGAGACAGAUUCAGGGGGCCUAUCUUGGGAACUAACGCAGAUGUGGCACCAGCUUCACCCCCAGUGCACCUCAGCUUCAAGAUCAUCCUGAGAGGCUCUGACAAAGGCUGUGCGGAAAUCCAUUCUCUCCUCAGCAUUUCCCUGACCACCAGGAAACAAGACAAGCAAACAACAAAAAGCCUAAAGUUAGUCAGAGAAUUCCAGCGCAGGAGGUUUGGGGACUUUACUUCCAAGGACUUCACUUCAAGGAAAUGGGAGAAUUUUCUCAUUAUCUUGUGGUGUGCCUGA